AGUGAACGCUGGCGGUAGGCCUAACACAUGCAAGUCGAACGGCAGCACAGUAAGAGCUUGCUCUUACGGGUGGCGAGUGGCGGACGGGUGAGGAAUACAUCGGAAUCUACUUUUUCGUGGGGGAUAACGUAGGGAAACUUACGCUAAUACCGCAUACGACCUACGGGUGAAAGCAGGGGAUCUUCGGACCUUGCGCGAUUGAAUGAGCCGAUGUCGGAUUAGCUAGUUGGCGGGGUAAAGGCCCACCAAGGCGACGAUCCGUAGCUGGUCUGAGAGGGUGGAGGGCCAAACGGGGAAUGAGACACGGCCAAAACUCCUACGGGAGGCAGCAGUAGGGAAUGGUUGGAGAUGGACGUAAGGCUGACCGGGCAACUCCGCGGGAGUGAAGAACGGCGUCGGAGCGUAAAACUCUGUUGGUAGAGAAGAACGAUGGUGAGGGUGGAAAGCUCAUGAAGUGACGGUAACUACCGAGAAAGGGACGGCUAACUACGUG
rnacentral:rRNA from 1 species